GAAACGAGUUCCACAGGAACGGUGCAGCCCUCGAGAAAUCUUGAAGGCGAGCAUCAGAGGUGGGAGUACGGACAGAAGAUAGACGUAAGUCUUCAGCAGAUCGUAAGGGCCUAGACGGGACAUACUUGUGUAUAAGGGAGGUUAGAUAGGUAGGAGCAGCAUUAUGUAGCGAUUUGAAAGCAAGAACCAGAAUUUUAAAUUGAG
rnacentral:lncRNA from 1 species